rnacentral:SRP_RNA from 1 species
GUCGGGGCCUUGCGCGGCGGAAAACGCCGAACCGUGUCAGGGCCGAGAGGCAGCAGCACUAAGGUGUCCAUCCGGGUGUCGUGGGUAACCCCGGCGUG